rnacentral:ncRNA from 1 species
UUGCCUGUGAAAGUCCGAUCCGGGUUAGCUGCCAGGAGGCCCGGAAGCAGGCUGGCGGUGUCGUCUGGAAACGGGCGGGGCCGAAGCCCAGCGUCAAGCGCCCACUCUUGGCGCGUGCAACCGAACGGUCCGUAACGUGA